rnacentral:lncRNA from 1 species
UUGCAACAAAUUUUGUGAUCUCACAUAACUAUUUUAAAGGAGUUGUUGUUGAUAGAAAAGAAACUAGUAUAUAUGAUUAUGAUUAUCUUUUUAUAUAUAAGGAGAGGUGUUUGAGAAAGAUGUGAAUAAUCAUUAUAUUUAUUUCUAAUAUUAUCUAAGCUAUUAUAAUAAUUGAUAUGGGGCGAAGAUUUAGUAGUUUAGUCUGGCCAUACUACAUGGAUG